ensembl:miRNA mir-260 miscRNA
CGUACAACAAAAUUAUUGCGAGAGAAUUUUUUAACAUGGCGUUUGCUUUACCAGGUCGAUAGACUAUCGUGAUGUCGAACUCUUGUAGGACAAUCUGGUAUUU